rnacentral:rRNA from 1 species
GUAGGUGGCAAGCAUUGUCCGGAAUUAUUGGGCGUAAAGCGCGCGCAGGCGGUUCUUUAAGUCUGAUGUGAAAGCCCACGGGCUCAACCGUGGAGGGUCAUUGGAAACUGGAGAACUUGAGUACAGAAGAGGAAAGCGGAAUUCCACGUGUAGCGGUGAAAUGCGUGGAGAUGUGGAGGAACACCAGCGGCGAAGGCGGCUUUCUGGUCUGUAACUGACGCUGAGGCGCGAAAGCGUGGGGAGCAAACAGGAUUAGAUACCCUGGUAGUCCACGCCGUAAACGAUGAGUGCUAAGUGUUAGGGGGUUUCCGCCCCUUAGUGCUGCAGCUAACGCAUUAAGCACUCCGCCUGGGGAGUACGGCCGCAAAGGCUG